GCCUUCGUGGUGUAGAGGUCAGCACGCUCGACGAGUAACCGAGAGGUCCGUGGUUCGAUUCCCGGCGAAGCCG
rnacentral:tRNA from 1 species